rnacentral:rRNA from 1 species
UACGGGGGGUGCAAGCGUUGUUCGGAAUUACUGGGCGUAAAGGGUUUGUAGGUGGCUUGCUAAGUCAGACGUGAAAUCCCUCAGCUUAACUGGGGAACUGCGACUGAGACUGGUGAGCUUGAGUGCAGGAGAGGAACGCGGAAUUCCAGGUGUAGCGGUGAAAUGCGUAGAUAUCUGGAGGAACACCGGUGGCGAAGGCGGCGUUCUGGACUGCAACUGACACUGAGGAACGAAAGCCAGGGGAGCAAACGGG